rnacentral:tRNA from 1 species
GUUCUUGUAGUUGAAUACAACGAUGGUUUUUCAAGUCAUAGGUCUCGGUUAGAGCCCGAGUAAGAAUA